GCUGACUGCUGCCAGCUGCCACCCAGCAACGGUGAGCUCUCCUUCCAUCCAUCCAUUUUUUUUUCCUUUCCCGUAUUACUCCAUGGAUACUGUGAUUGAUGCAGCUGUGCGACUGUGUUGACUGCCUAGAUAAUUUAUCACUGGGCGGAUUUAUGUGGCAAACUCGCGGCGGUGUAGCCUUGCAAUUGAUGGCCCAUUGGUUUAGUUUCACUGUAUCUUGUUCGUAGUUGCUACUGCGGCAAGUUGAAUCACAGGGAUCGAUUCUAGUUCUGAACCUACUCCACUUGGUUGAGUAAACGGCUACGAAUAUUCAUGGGGUAAUUCACGCAAUUCAGAUUUCUGCUGCUUAUAGCUUCAUUGCAGAAAAUUCCCGUGAUUUAUUAUUUUUGCAUAUGAACAUUUUGGCAUACUUAUUGUGCUUAUGAACCUGGCUGAAAUUCUGAAUCACUUGUGUUUUUGGUUCAGAGUUUUUGCUGAAACAACUAAACCAAAUGUACAUAUACCUCCGAAAGAUGGAGACCGUUACGUGGUCAUCUCAUGUCUAUUGCAAAUUGUUGAAGCAAAUUAGCUCUGUGAUGUGACAACAUCUCUUCUUCUUCCUCUGAAAUCUACAACACCAUAUCCUAGCUAAGUCGGUCACCGUGCCAUCCUAAGGAUCACAGGCUGGUGCACCCUUUUGCUCUCAAUCUGAAACCUCACCAACCUCGUGUCAAACUCCUUGAACCGAGCCAGAUCGGAUCCGCUCGAUGUUGACGACACCGCCAUCCCGGAGUAUGAGUUUGAGGACUUGCCCACUUGCUUGCCCUUGUGGCUUCUGCUGCUCCCGGUUGCUACGGUGAGCUCAAGGUUGCAUUCUUCUGCAGCAGAGGCAGGGAUCCAGCUGUUUGAGAAGCUGUAGAGUUGCUGACGGUCGGUAGCCUUGUCGUCACGCCAGACCUCGAGUUUAUGUUUUGUCUCAGCGUGAGCCUGGUUCAGCCCAGCUAUCUGCAUCUCCCUCAUCACUUGUUUCUGAACAUGGUAAACUCGGUGAAUCUCAUGAACCUGGUUCAGCAAAGAUGUGGAGAUUGGUGAGAAGCUUUUUCGCCUAUCUUGAAAUGCACAACUAAUGCAGUACUGCUUCUUAGAAACUAGUCUUAAUGUCUCAACUACUUGCUUCUACUCUAUUUCCUGUCACCUAUUAUUAUUCGUACAUCCAUCAACUGGAUAUAUAAUGGGAUGCAAAGAGAGCAUGGUGCAACCUAGCAGUACUUAGGAAGUCACCCUGAGCAAAGAGUUCCCCCUGUUUGCACGGUAGGAGACACCAAACUGCAGGCUACAUAGGCUGGUUUGGACUAUAUUUUGGGAAUGAGUGGCAUCAGGAUAUAGCCUCUUUCAGGCCAGUGAGCUCAGUGGGCUACAUAUUUAGUCUCAACCCAUGUCCAACCUGUAAGGACAGUAUUUGAUGGGAACACUCCUAUUACUAUUAAAACAUGGGUAUGCUCACAUUUGUUGAUGCAUUGGAGAAAUUAACUUAUGUGUUAAGGUGUUGCAUGUUCUGGUUAGUUCCCCGACUAUGGAGAGCUACAUACACACCCACGAAAUUGUCCAGGGAAAAGUUUGCGAUGAUGCCUGAUGACCGGCUGUAUACUGGAAGCGUGUCCGAUGUUCUACUGGAAGAUGCACACAUAGGUAGAAUAGUGUUUACACGAGUGUGUUGCCUUACCUGUUGUCUGAAUGUUUGUUCUUGCCCCAAGAUAACCAUCUUCAUCUCCUCUCUGUCCAUCUCUUGGAAAAUGCUAGCCGCAAGUCUUUCUGUGUCUAUCUCCAAUCUGCUUCAUGGGAAUUUCAGAAUGAAUACGGCAUGCAAUUUCUGUCGUAAAUGGUAAUAAUAGGAUCUGUCUUCAGUGUUGAAAUAUUUGUUGUAGUGCCUUGUUCUGUUAAUUGGUAGCUUUCAGUACGACCUAUGUACUUAUGUCCUUCCGGAAGAAAAGAAAAAAACGUCUGGAUUAUUUUCUGUGGAGAAACCAAUUUUCAUUAUUUUUCUGUGGAGAAACCAACUUACUCCGCUUGGUUGAGUAAACGGCUACGAAUAUUCAUGUGGUAAUUCACGCAAUUCAAAAAUCUGUUGUGUUAUACUCCCUCCAUUCCAAAAUAUAGUGCGCCCGCGCUUUCCGAGGUCGAACUUUGACCAUAAAUUUAACGAACGAGACCGACUGCGGCGGGUGAAAAAAUUACAUAAUUAAAAACUUCUUUCGAAUACGAAUUCACUGAUAUAAUUUUUGCUCCCGCCGCAAUCGGUCUUGGUAGUUAAAUUUACGGUCAAAGUUGAAGCACGGAGAUAGAGGAAGCACUACAUUGUGGAAUGGAGGGAGUAGCUUCACUGCAGAAAAGUCCAGUGAGUUGUUACUUUUGCAUAUUAACAUUUUAGCAUACUUGCCGUGCUUAUGAACGUGGCUGAAAUUCUGAAUCAAUCGUGUUCUUUGUUCAGAGGUUUUGCCGAAACAACUAAAUUAGAUGUUACAUAUGGCUCUGAAAGAUGGAGACCGUUACGCGGUCAUCUCUUGUCUAUUGCAAAUUGUUGAAGCAAAUUAGCUCUAUGACAUGACAACAUCUCUUCUUCUUUCUCUGAAAUCUACAACACCAAAUCCUAGCUAAGUCGGUCACCGUGCCACCCUAAGGAUCACAGGGUGUACGGCCAAGGAGACUGAUUCGUCUCAUCGGCAAUGGUAACCUCUUGCUCUCGGUCACCUCACCACCCUUUUGUCAAACUCCUUGAACUGAGCCAGAUCGGAUUCGGUCGAUGUUGACGACACCGUCAUCCCGGAGUCUGAGUUUGAGGACUUGCCCACUUGCUUGCCCUUGUGGCUUCUGCUGCUCCCGGUUGCUAGAGUGAGCUCAAGGUUGCAUUCUUCUGCAGCAGAGGCAGGGAUGCAGUUGUUUGAGAAGCUGUAGAGUUGCUGACGGUUGGUGGCCCUGUCAUCGCACCAGACCUCGAGUUUAGGUUUCGUCUUAGCGUGAGCCUGGUUCAGCCCAGCUAUCUGCAUCUCCCUCAUCAGUUGUUUCUGAACACGGUAAACUCGAUGCAUCUCAUGAACCUGGUUCAGCAAAGAUGUGCAGAUUUGGUGAGAAGCUUUUUCACCUAUCUUGAAAUGCACAACUAAUGCAGUACUGCUUCUUAGAAACUAGUCUUAAUGUCUCAACUACUUGCUUCUACUCUACCUGUCACCUAUUAUUAUUCGUACAUCCAUCAACUGGAUAUAUAAUGGGAUGCAAAGAGAGCAUGGUGCAACCUAGCAGUACUUAGGAAGUCACACUCACACCCUGAGCAAAGAGUUUCCCCUCUUUGCAUGGUAGGAGACACCAAACUGCAGGCUACGGAGGCUGGUUUGGACUAAAAUUUGGGAAUGAGUGGCAUCAGGAUAUAGCCUCUUUCAGGCCAGUGAACUCAGUGGGCUACACCUUCAGUCUUAACCCAUGUCCAACCUAUAAGGACGGUAUUAGAUGGGAACACUCCUAUUACUGUUAAAACAUGGAUAUGCUCACAUUUGUUGAUGCACUGAAGAAAUUAACCUUUCAGAAUGAGUACGGCAUGCAAUUUCUGUGGUAAAUUGUAAUAAUAGGAUCUGUCUUCAGUGUUGAAAUAUUUGUUGUAGUGCCUUGUUCCAUUAAUUGGCGGCUUUCAGUACGACCUAUGUACUUAUGUCCUUCAGGAAGAAAAGAAAAACGUCUGGAUUAUUUUCUGUGGAGAAACCAACUUACUCGGCUUGGUUGAGUAAACAACUACGAAUUCAUGUCAUAGUUCAUGCAAUUCAAAAAUCUAUUGUGUUAUAGCUUCACUGCAGAAAAGUCCAGUGAGUUGUUACUUUUGCAUAUUAACAUUUUAGCAUACUUGUCGUGCUUAUGAACGUGGCUGGAAUUCUGAAUCAAUUGUGUUCUUUGUUCAGAGGUUUUGCCGAAACAACUAAAUUAGAUGUUACAUAUGUUUGUUCUUUGUUCAGAGGUUUUGCCGAAACAACUAAAUUAGAUGUUGCAUAUGCCUCCGGAAGAUGGAGACCUCUUGUCUAUUGCAAAUUGUUGGAGCAAAUUUGCUCUGUGAAGUGACAACAUCUCUUCUUCUUUCUCUGAAAUCUACAACGCCAAACCCUAGCUAAGUCGGUCACCGUGCCACCCUAAGGAUCACAGGCUGGUACGGCCAAGGAGACCGAUUCGUCUCAUCGGCAAUGGUAAACCUCUUGCUCUCGGUCUGAAACCUCACCACCCUUGUGUCAAACUCCUUGAACUGAGCCAGAUCGGAUUCGGUCGAUGUUGACGACACCGCCAUCCCUGAGUCUGAGUUUGAGGACUUGCCGACUUGCUUGCCCUUGUGGCUUCUGCUGCUCCCGGUUGCCAGAGUGAGCUCGAGGUCGCAUUCUUCUGCAGCAGAGGCAGGGGUGCAGCUGUUUGAGAAGCUGUAGAGUUGCUGACGGUCGGUAGCCUUGUCGUCGCGCCAGACCUCAAGUUUAUGUUUCGUCUCAGCGUGAGCCUGGUUCAGCCCAGCUAACUGCAUCUCCCUCAUCAGUUGUUUCUGAACAUGGUAAACUCGGUGCAUCUCAUGAACCUGGUUCAGCAAAGAUGUGCAAAUCGGUGAGAAGCUUUUUCGCCUAUCUUGAAGUGCACACAGCAAAUGCAGUACUGCUUCUUAGAGACUAGCAUUAAUGUCUCAACUACUUGCUUGUACUCUAUUUCUUCUUACAUAUGACUAUUCGUACCUCCAUCAAUUGGAUAUAUAAUAGGAUGCAGAGAGAGCAUGAUGCAACCUAUUAUUACUUAGGAAGUCACACUCACACCCUGCGCAAAGAGUUUCCCUUGUUUGCACGGUAGGAGACACCAAACUACAUGCUACCGAGGCUGGUUUGGACUAUAUUUUGGGAAUGAGUGGCAUCAGGAUAUAGCCUCUUUCAGGCUAGUGAGCUCGGUGGGCUACUACUUCAGCCAGAACCCAUGUCCAACCUGUCAGGACGGUAUUGGAUGGGAAGACGGCUAUUACUAUUAAAACAUGGGUAUGCUCACAUCUGUUGAUGCAUUGGAGAAAUUAACUUAUGUGUUAAGGUGUUGCAUGUUCUGGUUAGUUGCCCGGCUAUGGAGAGCUACAUACACACCCACGAAAUUGUCCAGGGAAAAGUUUGCGAUGAUGCCUACUCCCUGGCCGUAUACUGGAAGCGUGUCCAAUGUUCUACUGGAAGAUGCACACAUAGGUAGAAUGGUGUUUACCGAGUGUGCUGCCUUACCUGUUGUCUGAAUGUUUGUUCUUGCCCCAGGAUAACCAUCUUCAUCUCCUCUCUGUCCAUCUCUUGGAAAAUGCUAGCUGCAAGUCUUUCUGUGUCUAUCUCCAAUCUGUUUCAUGGGAAUAUCACAGUGAGUACCGCAUGCAAUUUCUGACUUAAAUGAUAAUAAUAGGAUCUAUGUUCAGUGUUGAAAUAUUUGUUGUAGUGCCUUGUUCCAUGAAUUGGUAGCUUUCAUUACAACCUAUGUGCUUAUGUCCUCCAGGAAGAAAAGAAAAACGCCCUGAUUUUUUUGGUUUUUGUGGAGAAACCAAUUUUAUUCAUUUGUUUUUCAGAUUGAACUUAUAGCUUACACCCUAAUACAACCGAUCAAAUCUAGUACUCCCUCCGAUCCAUAUUAAUUGUCCCUGAUUUAGUACAAUACUAAAUCAGCGACAAUUAAUAUGAAUCGGAUGGAGUACUGUAUUUCUCUAACUAAGUGAACGGCAUUCUGUUACGCUUCUGUCAACAACAGUAAAACUGUUCUUUCUAUGACAGGGUAGCAAAAUGGAUAGAGCUAUGAGGGAGACGGAGAAAGAAGUAGCUGGCAAAUUUCCUUUCAGACUAGCGCAUGCCACUCGGCCUUCCGGAAAAAUUCAUCGCAAAGAGCACUUGAGAAGAACACAAGGAUCUGCCUACUCUGAGCUCUGAAGCACGCCACAACAUGUUCCAUGGAAGAAGAAGAAACAAGACAAGAGAUCAGAAGAAGGCUGUGCCCACCUCUGUUUUGGUUUCCAGCCGCCUCCCAGAGAAGGUACUCCCUCUGCCUCUCCCAACGAAGCUCUCCUCUCUUACAGUUUGUUUACCAGGCCAGAGCUUUGCUUCUGCUGAGAUGCAAGCAAGCAAGCAAGCAGGUAGAUAUAGAUAUGAUUUGAGGCACCAGGGCGAGAGGGAGGCGAUGGAGGGGAUAUGAGAUUCUCUCCGGGCUGCCAUGAGCUUCACAGCGCAGCAGCUGGUGGGGCCUUUUUUGUAGGCAUGCCGAACGAAUCCAAGUCACUUUGGCCAAUGAGGUUCGAUUCCAUGUAUCUUGAUGUGUCAAAGAUGCUUCCGUCUGGUGCCAGGAAAAGGAUAGGCAUGAUGAUGAGAUAAGAAGCUCCAGCUACAGCUGAGUAUUAUAUUUUAAACAAACCUCAAAACUACUCAAAGCCUAUGUGUCCCCUGGUGUCUCUACACACUUGAAAUGCCUUGGUUUUAAUAAUGUUAUAUACACACAUGCACUUGGAUUGCCUGUCAGGGGUUAGAGAAACAGGUUUUCCUUAAUAUCAUUGUGGGUUUCCAUGUAAUGGUAUUAUUAAAGUUUCAUCUAUGAGAAUAUUUCUAGCAAUCACCCCGGUACACUAUCAAAUAUGUUGAGGGUAUGUGCUUUGUUUUUCUUUUUAAAAAGGAAGAUAAUCCAUGACCUUUGCAUUUCUUUUUGAAUUGUUUGAAUUGCUUAUCACAUACUCCCUCCG
rnacentral:lncRNA from 1 species